rnacentral:lncRNA from 1 species
ACCGAACAAGAGCCAUGGAACGGUGAUGGCCGAUUAGACUCUGGCGCGCGAGUUCAUGUUUGGUACCCUCGUUCCAAUACGUUAUAAAAGAGAAUGCAUUCGUCCACCUUGAAUAUUAUUCAUGUUCUGGUUAAAAAAGGCACUAAUGAUUUAUGCUAUACAACGUUUGACAUGUUUGAACGAACGUAAAUAUAUUUUUUCCCCUCGUUCAUGACGAGAAGUCCGGCUGGCUUAGAUCAUGUGCUAACAACACGGAUCUUUUUGGAUAUAAAUGAUGAGCUUUUUUGAACAAAACUACAUUCGUUAUGGACCUGGGAUCCCGGGAAGUGACAUCUGAUGAAGAGAAUCAAAGGGAGUCAUGAAGCUAGAAGCAGAUGCAGUGCAUCAUGAGCUAAUAUAUGUGGACGAGGCAGGUUUAACCUUGCAAAAACAAAAACAAGGGGCCACGGCAGAAAUAUCGUCGGACACUGUGCCAUCAUCAACGCCCCGGGACAACGUGGUGGCAACAUAACAAUGUGCUAUUAGUCAAAACGGCAUCCUUCACCAUCAUGCAAUUCUAGGCCCAUACAACACUGCACACAUUAUCACAUUUCUGGACACACUCCACAACAGACUAAUCCCUAAUGACCAGGGGCCAGAGCAGCCCAGGUACGUUAUCGUCUGGAACAAUGUUAGUUUCCACCGGGCUGCUGUGGUCUGCAAUUGGAUCACGUCAUCCACUGUUCAUUGCCCUCAAUCUCCCCCAUACUCUUCGUUCUUGAAUCCUAUUGAAUAAUUCUUCUUUGCAUGGCGUUGGAAGAUGUAUGAUCGCCAGCCCCACAAACUCAUACUCCUUCUACAGGCAAUGGAGGAGGCUUGUGGAGACAUCGAUCAGGGGUCAUGCCAGGCUUGGAUACGGCACUCCAGGCGAUACUUUCCACGCUGCCUAGCUCAAGACAACAUCACAUGUGAUGUGGAUGAAGUCUUAUGGCCAGACCCACAAAGAAGGCGAGAUGUCACCAACAUUUCUUCUGUUCUUUUUUUUCUAGCACAAAUGUUUUUGUUUUCUCCUACUGCGCUUUUUUUGUUUGAGGAGUGUUAGAACAUUUUGAGAAAAAUUAAAAGUUUUCC